UUUUGGAAGAUUUCCUUUUGUCAUCCAUGUGCUUUUAGCUUCUCAAACUGAGCUGUGCCAAUCCCCAAAUCUGCUUGAGCUGCAUCCUGCCAUCUGGUGUGGCCUCCCUUUUCCUUAGAAAACAAUCUGCAGUUGUCUUCCUGUCUAUCUUCCCAUAAAGGCCAUUUUAAGAGUGUUUUCUGGGCACCUUUGUCUUCCCCGACCCUGGAGCACAUCAUUCAGAAGAGGCUCGGUGGCAUCUGCCCAUCAGAGAAGCUGAUAGAAGACGACUCCCAAGAUGUGGAAACCACAGACAUAGAGGAAAGACCAGGAAGCCUCCUGAAGAAAUGGACAGGAAUCACACCUUGGAUUCAGUUCCCCGGAGUCCCCUGAGCUCCAGGCACAGUACCUGACACCGGACAAGGGUGGUCUCUCAUCCCUGGAUGCCCAGGCGGGGGAUAUGUUACCACGGAGACGCCCAAGGACAAGUUGCUGCAAUCCCUAGUCAGGCGGUUACAUAAGCAGUCCCCCUUGCCAACUGUCACCAAGGCCACCUGGAAAAUCAAGACUUACGCAAACCAGCAAUGGCUUGCCAGAGGUGCGACACCCUCGUGUGCUUGUUCCUGGCUGCUCGGGAGCUACGAUCAAGCCCUCUUCUUACUACCAGCCCCGGAUUUGUCCAAAGCUGGAACAACAACAACUAUGUGUAUUUUCUGCAGACUUAAUGCCAGGCUCCUGCUUCCUCAUCUGCAAAACGAGGGGAUCACAGGAGACAAGCACCAGGACCCUUCUAGCUCUGAGCUGACACGACUGUUCCCCUGUGGUUUGGCCUGGAGCCUUCUCUUGCCUCCCGUCUGUCUCAUGCAUCCUGGCACGGCCCUCGGCACAAAGCUGGUGCCCAAAACAUAGCGCAUGGACAGGCCACGGCUGUUUCCUGACUACUCCCAGGAUCGCACAGUUUGUUUGAGCCAAAGACCUGGCAGGAAAUGUCCAUGGCUCACAGAACCACAUUUUCAAAGUCACAUUGUAAGUAGAGGAUGAAGGACAAGGGGACGAAUCCUGUUCCCUCUCAAUGCUUCUUCGAAGCGUUUUUCAGCUUGGAACUUGUUGCAGUCUGUAGUUUGAGGGUGUUCCAAAUGUCUGUAAUUACAGACUAUCUCCUUCCCUGCCAGGAGGUCUGGAAGCCCAGCCACAGGACCAGACUGUGAAGACCAGCCACACAUCUUAUCCUCCUCAGCAUUCCAGCUGCAGGAUAAUUUUUAACUAUACUUUUGCAACUGGGGUUAGUAACCAAGAGACAAAAGACUGAGCAAAUCCAACGAGGGAAACAAAGUAACCUCUAGAAAAAAAGAAGAAAAAAGAAAGAAGGAAGAGCGAGGAAAACCCAGGAAGGCCAUCAUGAGAAAAAGGACAUUUUUUUAAAAAAAGGAUUAACAGACGGGGUUAAAGUUGAGGCCAUGCAGAAGCAGUUGGCUGAUAGGGGAAAAAAACAAACCAAAAAAAACAAAUAAAACCCCCCUUGGCUAACAAAUAAUUAGAGAAUGACUUAGUAAAGAGGUUGGAAAGAAUAGGGUAUCAGAAGAGUAAUGACCAUUUUAUUUAUUUUAUUUAUUUUUUUUUUAAGAUUUUAUUUAUUUAUUUGACAGAGAC